UAGUCCACGCUGUAAACGAUGAGUGUUAGGUGUCUGGGAGAACCUGGGUGCCACAGCAAACGCAAUAAACACUCCGCCUGGGGAGUACGCACGCAAGUAUGAAACUCAAAGGAAUUGACGGGGACCCGCACAAGUAGCGGAGCAUGUGGUUUAAUUCGAUGCAACGCGAAGAACCUUACCAGGGCUUGACAUGAAAGUGACGAGGGAUAGAGAUAUUCCUUUUCUCUUCGGAGACAGUUUUAC
rnacentral:rRNA from 1 species